rnacentral:rRNA from 1 species
GACGAACGCUGGCGGCGCGCCUAACACAUGCAAGUCGAACGGAGUCAAGAGGAGCUUGCUUUUCUUGACUUAGUGGCGAACGGGUGAGUAACGCGUGAGUAACCUGCCCUGGAGUGGGGGACAACAGUUGGAAACGUCUGCUAAUACCGCAUAAGCCCACGGAUCCGCAUGGAUCUGCGGGAAAAGGAUUUAUUCGCUUCAGGAUGGACUCGCGUCCAAUUAGCUAGUUGGUGAGGUAACGGCCCACCAAGGCGACGAUUGGUAGCCGGACUGAGAGGUUGAACGGCCACAUUGGGACUGAGACACGGCCCAGACUCCUACGGGAGGCAGCAGUGGGGGAUAUUGCACAAUGGGGGAAACCCUGAUGCAGCGACGCCGCGUGGAGGAAGAAGGUUUUCGGAUUGUAAACUCCUGUCGUUAGGGACGAUAAUGACGGUACCUAACAAGAAAGCACCGGCUAACUACGUG